UACGGGGGGGCAAGCGUUGUUCGGAAUUACUGGGCGUAAAGGGUUUGUAGGUGGCUUGUUAAGUCAGACGUGAAAUCCCUCAGCUUAACUGGGGAACUGCGUCUGAGACUGGUGAGCCUGAGUGCAGGAGAGGAACGCGGAAUUCCAGGUGUAGCGGUGAAAUGCGUAGAUAUCUGGAGGAACACCGGUGGCGAAGGCGGCAUCCUGGACCAACACUGACACUGAGGAGCGAAAGCCAGGGGAGCAAACGGG
rnacentral:rRNA from 1 species